GUACACUCCUGCGGGAGGCAGCAGUGGGGAAUAUUGGACAAUGGGCGCAAGCCUGAUCCAGCCAUGCCGCGUGAGUGAUGAAGGCCCUAGGGUUGUAAAGCUCUUUCACCGGUGAAGAUAAUGACGGUAACCGGAGAAGAAGCCCCGGCUAACUUCGUGCCAGCAGCCGCGGUAAUACGAAGGGGGCUAGCGUUGUUCGGAUUUACUGGGCGUAAAGCGCACGUAGGCGGACUAUUAAGUCAGGGGUGAAAUCCCGGGGCUCAACCCCGGAACUGCCUUUGAUACUGGUAGUCUUGAGUUCGAGAGAGGUGAGUGGAAUUCCGAGUGUAGAGGUGAAAUUCGUAGAUAUUCGGAGGAACACCAGUGGCGAAGGCGGCUCACUGGCUCGAUACUGACGCUGAGGUGCGAAAGCGUGGGGAGCAAACAGGAUUAGAUACCCGGGUAGUCCC
rnacentral:rRNA from 1 species